AUUGUUUCUGGCGGGGGAGGGGGAGAUGUGAACUCACUGUUUAUAUGCUAUCUGUCUGGAUCACAUUGUUUCACUUCCAUGCAACUUAAAGGGAAAGAGAACCAAUAGCAACGAAAUGACACUCAGGCUGCUUUCUAGCCAAGAUUUCAUUCCUUCUGCCACCACCAAUGACAUAGUAAGAGGCUAAAUUAUUAGCUUGUAAGGUGAAGCCAAGCCCCACUCCCUAGUAAUUUCUGAAAACAGCUCUCAUUUCCUGCCUUCUCUCUGAAAGAAGAACCAAGAGUGGCACUGUGGCUCAAACUGGUAGAGCCUUGAGCAAAAAAGAUCAGGGAAAACACUCAGGCCCUGAGUCCAAGCCCCACGACCGACAAAAGAACCCCAAAAACUGUGUGGUGCUUCAACAUAACAUAAAACUUCAUAUUACAUAGAAAAUUUUAAA